AUUGCAUUUGUGAAAAUGAUUUUAUUCAUAAAGGUUCUAAUGAACAUUUUUACUUGUAAAACAUUGUGCUUCUGCAACAAUUUAUUAAGGAGCAUAAGUGUCAAUGAUCAAUUUUAUUAGUGGAAUUUUACUUGUGAACAUUUUUAUCUGUGAGAAUACGUUCUUACGCUACGCAGCCAAGUCUCGCCAGUUGUUUUAUUUUCUCGCGGAGUCGAUUGAGGAUGAUGUUGGAAAUGGAAGUCUAAGGAAAUAGAAAUUUCUUUGCUUAUUCUCUCGUAUUCGAAGUAACUUUUUGUUAUUAUUUGCCGUAAAUGUAUUCCAACCUGUUCAACCGACAUAGGUAUCUAGAUUAAUCUGUUGCAAACAGCUUUAUCUAUGGAGUUAAUCAAAAUUUGAUAGAAAUCAGACUUUCGCUUCCGUGACAGAAUAUUGUGAAGCACUCAUACUCAUGGCAACCUGAUGUGAUCAAUAACAACAGUAAUGUGACAGCCAAGUUAGUGGAUGUAGCUGAGCUAGAGCUACUAAAAGAAGAAAACUGAAGAAUGUAUAAUAAAUCGUUAAAAAAAUGGAGAAACGACCAUAUUGUGAACGGAUCUUCAAACUGUUUGGGCAGCUAUGGGGAAAAGAGAGAUUGAGGUGUGUCAGUCUCCUGACACACUCCAGUCUAGCCUCCUUACACACUUCAAUCUAAAAGAAAAUUAAUUCAAAUGGAUAUACAGUAUUCAAAACAGCUGGAAGCAUUAAGACAGAGUUGAAGUUCAAGGAUUUUUUCUUUUCAUUUUACCAAUAUUAUUUAGUCUGUGUAGAAAAUGGCAAAUUGUUAAAACUUUUUAGGAAUUAGAUUUCGGCAAAUUACAUAACAAGUGUGAGCAACAAAAGAAUACAAAAUACUUCCAACCUCUGCCCACAAAGAUGUUUAAGGAAAAACCUAAAGUUGGAAGUUAAUACAUUUUUUCUCAUUGCAAGUUUUUUAAACAAAUUGUAAACUGAUAAAAUGAAACAACAAAUGACCUAUUACUUUGCAUCAAUUGUUUUCCCAAAUGGAGAUUUAUUCCACAAUCUUCAGGUUCCCAGGCAGACACCCAUCCACAAAGCCAUGGAGUCAGUGAACAAUGUGUGGAAUCUGAUAUUCUAGCCCUGGAAACCCCAGGUGCCCUUCUGCUUCAACAAGGCUAUAAAGCAAUAAUAAUUUCAGGAGGUCCCAAUUCAGUUUACGCGGCGGAACGGUUUACGUUCGUUACGCAUUGUUACGUUGUUACGCGUCGUUACGUCAGAGAAGCCGUCCAUCACAAAGAAGCCGUCCAUUAACGCGGCGGACGAGGUCGAUGCGAGUGGAUUACGACGAUUAUAGCGGCGAAGUCGAUUCCGCGGUUUGUGCUGCCCUUCUCCAUAAAGCACUUCUACAGGGUGACGACUCGUCGCGAAUGCAGGCCAUCCAUAUCGAUAACGGUUUCCUGCGUAAAGACGAAUCCGAGCAGGUCGUCACUAGUUUACAGCAGCUCAGGCUCAAUCUUCGGGUAAUUUGAGAUACUUUUCUAGACCGUUCAGAAUCUUAUGAUUGGCCAAAAUUUCCAAAAUACGUCGUCUUGUCACAUCUCGGAAUCUGUUUGGGUUUAAACCCUUGCAGAAUUGAAUUACUACCUUUGUCGAAUGAUUUAUUUCGUUUACAUUGAUUAUACUUCAACCCUUUACAAGUGGGAAAAGGUUGCCUUUAAGCAACAAGAAGGUAUUUUGCGUGCCUAUGUACGAAUCAUGGCUUAAUGGGUGAGCAUCGGAUUGUGGCGCUGGAUGAUUGUGGAUCAAAUCCCAUUAGAGGUAUUUAUAGAGGUACACAAUAUAUUUGCUGAUUCACUUUAUUGACGGCAUCACUGACAGUUUACAAGCGUUUUAGUAACGAACCCUGGGCUACUUUAAAUUGUUAUUACAAGUGUGAACAAAUUACCUUUAAGCUCUUGGUAAAAGUUGAAGCUUGGAAUGUGUGACUUAUGGCUCAAUGGUAGAGCAUCGGAGCGGUACGCUGAAGGUUUAGGGUUCGAUUCCCAAAAGGGUCACGUUACAUUUCAUUGUAAAAAUAAAUACCAUCGCGAAAAUAAAGCGUUCGCAGCAUU